rnacentral:rRNA from 1 species
CAUGCAGGCGGUCGGGCGCGUUUUGUGUGACAGCGGGUGGCUUAACUACCCGAGUAUGCGAAAGACGGUUUGACUUGAGGGCUCGAGAGGGACACGGAAUUCCGGGUGGAGUGGUGAAAUGCGUAGAGAUCCGGAGGAACACCGAAGGCGAAGGCAGUGUCCUGGCGAGUGACUGACGCUGAGGUGCGAAAGCUAGGGGAGCGAACGGGAUUAGAUACCCCGGUAGUCCUAGCCGUAAACGAUGACCACCAGGUGUGGGAGGUAUCGACCCCUUCCGUGCCGGAGUAAACACACUAAGUGGUCCGCCUGGGGAGUACGGUCGCAAGAUUAAA